GACGAACGCUGGCGGCGUGCUUAACACAUGCAAGUCGAACGGAAAGGCCCUGCUUUUGUGGGGUGCUCGAGUGGCGAACGGGUGAGUAACACGUGAGUAACCUGCCCUUGACUUUGGGAUAACUUCAGGAAACUGGGGCUAAUACCGGAUAGGAGCUCCUGCUGCAUGGUGGGGGUUGGAAAGUUUCGGCGGUUGGGGAUGGACUCGCGGCUUAUCAGCUUGUUGGCGGGGUAGUGGCUUACCAAGGCUUUGACGGGUAGCCGGCCUGAGAGGGUGACCGGCCACAUUGGGACUGAGAUACGGCCCAGACUCCUACGGGAGGCAGCAGUGGCGAAUAUUGCACAAUGGGCGGAAGCCUGAUGCAGCAACGCCGCGUGCGGGAUGACGGCCUUCGGGUUGUAAACCGCUUUCGCCUGUGACGAAGCGUGAGUGACGGUAAUGGGUAAAGAAGCACCGGCUAACUACGUG
rnacentral:rRNA from 1 species